rnacentral:rRNA from 1 species
UACGUAGGCGGAAAAUUAAGUCAGUAGUGAAAUCCUGCAGCUUAACUGUAGAACUGUUAUCGAUACUGGUUUUCUUGAAUAUAGUUGAGGUAGGCGGAAUGUGUAAUGUAGCGGUGAAAUGCUUAGAUAUUACACAGAACACCGAUUGCGAAGGCAGCUUACUAAGCUAUGAUUGACGCUGAGGUACGAAAGCGUGGGGAGCGAACAGGAUUAGAUACCCUGGUAGUCC